rnacentral:rRNA from 1 species
UACGUAGGGGCAAGCGUUGUCCGGAAUCAUUGGGCGUAAAGAGCGUGUAGGCGGUCCUGUAAGUCCGCUGUGAAAGUCAAGGGCUCAACCCUUGAAUGCCGGUGGAUACUGCAGGACUAGAGUCCGGAAGAGGCGAGUGGAAUUCCUGGUGUAGCGGUGAAAUGCGCAGAUAUCAGGAGGAACACCGAUGGCGAAGGCAGCUCGCUGGGACGGUACUGACGCUGAGACGCGAAAGCGUGGGAGCAAACAGG